AGAGUUUGAUCCUGGCUCAGAUUGAACGCUGGCGGAACGCUUUACACAUGCAAGUCGAACGGUAACGUGGGGAGGAGCUUGCUCCGCCCCGACGACGAGUGGCGAACGGGUGAGUAAUACAUCGGAACGUGUCCGCUCGUGGGGGACAACCAGCCGAAAGGUUGGCUAAUACCGCAUGAGUUCUACGGAAGAAAGAGGGGGACCCGCAAGGGCCUCUCGCGAGCGGAGCGGCCGAUGACUGAUUAGCCGGUUGGUGAGGUAACGGCUCACCAAAGCAACGAUCAGUAGCUGGUCUGAGAGGACGACCAGCCACACUGGGACUGAGACACGGCCCAGACUCCUACGGGAGGCAGCAGUGGGGAAUUUUGGACAAUGGGCGCAAGCCUGAUCCAGCUAUUCCGCGUGUGGGAUGAAGGCCCUCGGGUUGUAAACCACUUUUGUAGAGAACGAAAAGACAUCUUCGAAUAAAUGGUGUUGCUGACGGUACUCUAAGAAUAAGCACCGGCUAACUACGUGCCAGCAGCCGCGGUAAUACGUAGGGUGCGAGCGUUAAUCGGAAUUACUGGGCGUAAAGGGUGCGCAGGCGGUUGAGUAAGACAGAUGUGAAAUCCCCGAGCUUAACUCGGGAAUGGCAUAUGUGACUGCUCGACUAGAGUGUGUCAGAGGGAGGUGGAAUUCCACGUGUAGCAGUGAAAUGCGUAGAUAUGUGGAAGAACACCGAUGGCGAAGGCAGCCUCCUGGGACAUAACUGACGCUCAGGCACGAAAGCGUGGGGAGCAAACAGGAUUAGAUACCCUGGUAGUCCACGCCCUAAACGAUGUUAACUAGUUGUUGGGAUGUAACAAUCUCAGUAACGCAGCCAACGCGAGAAGUUAACCGCCUGGGAAGUACGGUCGC
rnacentral:rRNA from 1 species